rnacentral:tRNA from 1 species
AGCGGGGUAGGGCAGUCUGGAGUGCCCGUUGGGCUCAUAACCCAAGGUCGGUGGUUCAAAUCCACCCCCCGCUA